GGACGCCCCCAAGAGAGCGCCUCCCUCCCGACUCCCGAGCGAAUCACCAGAGAGGGCCUCCUCCCCGAGCGCGACAGCUAGGGUUACUAGCCGCCGCCGACCGACCCACCGCCACCACCGCCGGCCCUCCGCCGCGGCGCGCCUGGCCGGCCCAAGCCCCCGCUGCCCCGCCGCCGGUACAGGACCCCAGGCAGCGCUUCCCUCCCUCCGCCGAGCAGCCGCUCCCGCCAGCAGCGCCUCCCUCAAUCCCUCCCUCCCUGGAGCAGCCGCCGCCCCGGAGCUACGCCGGCGACCAGCCCAUCGGCAGGUGUCAGUUCCUAAUGGUUAUCUAGAGACAGAUACAUUGAAGGGUCCUCAAUGGAUUUGAACGCAUCCCCGUUGCCCGAGGACGAUGACCAUGAAGAGCCAGUUGAGCUUGAUUUUGGACAGGACGAUGAAGAUCACGUCGAGUCUGCUGUUGAGAUUAUGAGGAGGGAACGAGAAGAACGACGCAGAAAGUUAAAGAGAGAUCAACCAGAUGAUGGACCAAGGCCAAGACCACAACAGGUUAGGAAUGAUCAUGCAACCCAAAACAAGAUUGGCGGAUACAAACGAGUUAAAGAGACACCUCAGGGUUGGAUGGAUUGCCCUGCAUCUGGUCAACCAAUAGACAAAAUCAUACCCUCUAAAGUUCCGCUGGAUGAAACAUUCAAUGAGUCGGUUCCUCCUGGAAAAAGAUAUUCUUCCAAACAAGUUGUUAAUAAACAAAGAAAGGCUGGCAGGGACAUAGGUUUGGUGAUUGACUUGACAAAUACCUCUCGGUACUAUUCGCCAGCAGAGUGGACGAAGCAAGGUACUAAACAUGUCAAGAUUGCUUGCAGGGGGAGAGAUGCUGUACCAGAAAAUGAAGCUGUUAACACGUUUGUGUAUGAGGUGUUGGCGUUUCAUGAGCGCCAGAAGCCAUCAAGGAAUCCCAAAUACGUACUUGUUCACUGUACUCAUGGGCAUAACCGUACUGGCUUUAUGAUUGUUCAUUACCUAAUGCGCACACAACUGUCUAGUGUUACUGAGGCUUUAAAUAUAUUUGCUCAAAGACGGCCUCCCGGAAUAUAUAAAACCGACUACAUUCAAGCACUGUAUACAUUUUAUCAUGAAAUUCCUGAAAGUAUCACAUGUCCACCGACACCGGAAUGGAAGAGGCCUUCUGAUCUUGAUUUGAAUGGUGAAGCUAAGCAGGACGACGAUGACGACAAUGGCGAGCCUGCACCAUCACCAGAUCCUGUAGAUGACAAGGCCAUUACUAAUGAUGAUGUCCUAGGGGAUGCUGUACCUUUCGACCAGCAAGAUAUCUUGCGUGGCAUAUGUUUCAAAUUGCUUGAUUUUGUACCCAAUGGUAGAGCUAAUGCUCAAUUUCCAGGAUCUCAUCCAGUUUCCCUCAACAGUGAGAACCUGCAACUUCUGAGACAAAGAUAUUAUUAUGCUACGUGGAAAGCUGAUGGAACACGAUACAUGAUGCUUAUAAUGCGGGAUGGCUGUUUCUUAAUAGACCGAAACUUCUGCUUUAGAAGAGUUCAGAUGCGUUUUCCUAUUAGGAAUGUUAACGAUGGUUUCCACAACUUUACAUUGAUCGAUGGAGAAAUGGUUGUAGACGCCAUACCAGGUGGUGGAUUGAAGCGGAGGUACUUAGCGUAUGAUCUAAUGGCAAUUAAUUUCUCCUCCAAAGUCAAGUUGCCCUUUUCUGACAGGUGGAAGCUACUUGAGGAUGAAAUAAUUCGUCCACGCAUCUAUGAGAGAAAGCAGUUUGAAACUGGUCUGAAAGGCAAUCCAUCAUACAGAUAUGACCUGGAACUUUUUUCGGUAAGGAGAAAGGAUUUUUGGCUGCUUUCCACGGUGAAGAAAUUACUCAAGGAGUUUAUUCCAGCACUUUCACAUGAAUCUGAUGGGCUUAUAUUUCAGGGCUGGGAUGAUCCAUACGUGAAUCGUACACACGAAGGUCUUUUAAAAUGGAAGUACCCAGAGAUGAAUUCAGUUGACUUUUUGUUUGAGACUGGUAGUGAAAACCGUCAGCUUAUUUUUCUGUACGAGAGAGGCAAAAAGAAACUUAUGGAUGGUACCCGGGUGGUAUUUGCUGAUGAUGUAGAUCCAUCUUCAAUAUCAGGGAAAAUUGUUGAGUGCUCUUGGAAUAAACAGGAGGACUGCUGGUUCUGCAUGCGAAUCCGAGCAGAUAAGUCAACUCCUAAUGAUAUCAAUACUUACAGAAAGGCACUUCCCUUUUCCCCUCCCUGCCUCCCUCCCUCUCUAUGGCCGUGCUCGAUUUCCUGAACCAUAUCAUGCUGAAAACUAGUGUCAACAUCCAGGUCAUUCAGUAUAUGUUAUGCACACCUACAAAAUUCAGUAUCUUGGUGAUCCACAGUAUAGAGAAAUUGGACAAGUGGCGCAGGCUACAUGCUCCGUAUUGCACAAGAAUUUUGGGACGGAGGUAGUAGUACAUUGUCUUCAUAAUUCAACAUGAUCUCUUCUACUCUUAAUGCCCCUUUCCUAAACUGGCUAGUGACCAUACCCAGUCCUGACUGUUGCUGGCUACAUCCUAACUGACAGAUGAUUGUGAUUUUGCAUUCAUGAGAAUCAUGUCAUUACUAAAUUAAUCAAGACGUAUAUUUUGUGUGGUGAGUUCAUCUUUCAUGGUCGCUUCAUGGUUAGGUUGUCAAUUUGCAAUCAGAUACACAAUUUGUAAAGUUUAAUAAUAGUCAAAUGAUGUUGACUUGCGAUGGUUGAUAAAUUUUGAGCUCUCCAAUUUAAUACAUUUAUUAUUGCCAUUGCAUUUUACUUUCUUCCUAUUGCAGACCAUCGCUAUUCUUCAUACACUAUAGACUUUACUGUGCAAUUUUACUCCAUCUCCUGCUGUGUAGACAUCAAGAGUAUGAGAAACAGAAUCGCUAUGUACAAUCUGACAAUUUCCAUUGUCUUGUCGUAAU